UUUCACUUGAGACUUCUUUUCUUUUUGUAACUUCUCUGUCCUGUUAAAUUCAGAACUGAAUGUGAUGAUAGGGAUGUGAAAUUCUACAGAAUCAUGCAGUUAUAAGCCAGUGAAGGUGAAGAGGGUUGGCAAACAGUUUCCUUUAUUUUAGUUACUAAACAAACAAUCAAGUCACUUGACCCUAAAUUUAGCCUUUCUUCAAAACUAUCAGUAUUUUGUACAAGUUUUCAGGUCUGUGAAUGAUAUUUCAUGGUAAUUUAAAGGUUCUGUGUGUGUUAUUCCUAAUGACUGUUAAAAAAUAUGUUUGAUCUAUGUUAGGUUAGUGGUAUUAAAUAGCAUCUACAGUAUAUAUCAUAUGGUUUUUGUUUUUGGUGUUUAAAACAACUGACUUCAUCAGAGUGUUAAAAUAUCCUGUGAAAGUCAAUGAGGUCCAUUCUUCAAAAUAUUUUCUUUUUAGUUUAGUAGAGGAAAGAGGAGAAAAAAAUGAUUCAUUUUGGGGUUAACUAUGCAUUUAAUAUUAUAGGUCAUUUGUAUAGGUCACUGACCCAUUUAGCAUCACCACAGUCAGACACUGAAAGUUCAUCUACGAUAACACAUAGGCCAGAUAGCGAAUUAUUAUUUAAACAGGUGCUAAUAUUAACAGAUUGAUGCUUACUUUCCACUCUGUAUUUCUCCUUGCAGAACUGCUGUUGUUUGCAAUGGCAGCAUUGCACUGUGGGAUAACAGAAGAAAUAGACUUUAUUAUGGGUAACUGUAAUGAUGUCAUCAGACUUCCUUGUACAGCUACUGACCAAACAAAAACCUACCGUUACGUCAUGUGGUAUAAAAAUGAUAAUGUUCCUAUCAUCAAGAGGAAAAAAGAUGAAUAUGCAUACUAUAACUUGACCAACAUUUCUCUGGAAGAUAAAGAGACCCUGGUGUUAAAAAAUACGCAACCUUCAGACUCUGGAGAAUAUAAAUGCUUCCUGGCUGCAGAGGUUGGAGGUCAAAAUGAUGAGUCUAUAGUUGGAUUGAAUAUCUCAGAAUGUUUGGAUGUGAGCACAGUUUAUCCCAUCACCACCAUGAUCCCUGCUGAAUCCUGUCCUGCUGUAGAAGAAUUAACUGUUCCCUGGGCUGUGAUUGGCUUUUCUCUUAUUAGCAUCACCAAAAUUAUUCUUUGCAUUGUAACCGUGGGGGUGUGUGAUCGAGUCAUAUUUAGAACAGUAAGAAGAAAACAGGAAGGAAGGGGAAGCAAGACUGGAAGGUCAAGCUGGAAAGACUGA
rnacentral:lncRNA from 1 species